rnacentral:rRNA from 1 species
AGUUUUUGCUAGUGCUAUAUUGCAGUCGAGCGAGUCCCUUCGGGGGCUAGCGGCGGACGGGUGAGUAACACGUAGGCAACCUGCCCGUAAGCUCGGGAUAACAUGGGGAAACUCAUGCUAAUACCGGAUAGGGUCUUCUCUCGCAUGAGAGGAGACGGAAAGGUGGCGCAAGCUACCACUUACGGAUGGGCCUGCGGCGCAUUAGCUAGUUGGUGGGGUAACGGCCUACCAAGGCGACGAUGCGUAGCCGACCUGAGAGGGUGACCGGCCACACUGGGACUGAGACACGGCCCAGACUCCUACGGAAGGCAGCAGUAGGGAAUUUUCCACAAUGGACGAAAGUCUGAUGGAGCAACGCCGCGUGAACGAUGAAGGUCUUCGGAUUGUAAAGUUCUGUUGUCAGAGACGAACAAGUACCGUUCGAACAGGGCGGUACCUUGACGGUACCUGACGAGAAAGCCACGGCUAACUACGUGCCAGCAGCCGCGGUAAUACGUAGGUGGCAAGCGUUGUCCGGAAUUAUUGGGCGUAAAGCGCGCGCAGGCGGCUAUGUAAGUCUGGUGUUAAAGCCCGGGGCUCAACCCCGGUUCGCAUCGGAAACUGUGUAGCUUGAGUGCAGAAGAGGAAAGCGGUAUUCCACGUGUAGCGGU